GCCGCUUCUCAUUCAGCCACAGCCCAAACAAAUAGGGCCUUAGUAUUGUACGUUCCUGGACCCACAGGCCGCGCCGUCCGCAGAUGCAUCCCUGUCCACCAGGUUGCGUCCUCUAUUUUGGGGGAAAAGGGGAUCGGGACCAGGGGAGCAAGUGGAGUUGGCGGGCGGCAGCGGCGGAGAGCUUCUCAGAUUUGCGACGGCGCAGGCAUGGCUAUGGAUUUUCCCGUCUCUCCGGUAGACAAGCUGCCAAUCUUCCUCGACGAGGAGGCAAGCGCUGCGGGCCUAAUGGAGUUGAUUGGUGCCGCUAGCCGCGGAGACGAUGAAUCGGCCAAUGGAUCCAGGGGGCUGUGGUCGGCGGAUUUGGCCAUGGGUCAUACGGGCAGAUGCUGAACGAAGGGAUGUCCAGCGAGGAGAGAACUGUAGCUGGUGGUGGCGCCGCCAUGUCUGGGUUCAGCGAGAGCGAGAGGGACAAUGAAGAAGCUCUUGACUGCUCAAUCAACAGGCAAGGUCGAUCCGCAAGCAGGGGCGGAGCCAGAAAAUUUAGCCAUUGGGUUCAUUUGUUGACUUUGCUGUGAAGAUUUGAUAUAAAUUAAUUAAGUAAAAACAGGUGUAUCCCGUGUUGAAAACACCCACGCAAGAUAGGCUACCCCAGCAUAAUAAUUCUGCAAGGAAGCUGGUUGGAACUCAGGAUCUCCAGGCCACAGUGGAGAGACUCUACCACUUUGUUAAGUGUAAAAUUUAACUUCACAUCAUCUUACAACAAAGAUUAUAACAUUAAAAAUAACUUAAUGUCUGGAAAUAUGAUAUCACUUAUCAUAUAUCAUGUUACAUAAAUACCAAAGAGUGCAUGACAUACCUGUUACAUGUUAUAGCCAGUUCAGGACCAAACGACUUCAUAGCUUCAGAUAAAGCUUCUCAUCUUCCUGUAAGCAUUGAAGAAAAUGACCAUUAAUUUCUAAUGACUCACUCUCAGUCUUGUCCUUAUUGUUAUCCCUAAAAAGAUAGCAGCAAUAACAAAAGGUCGUACGCAUCUUGUCACUAUACUAAGUCAACAACCAUAUUCAUAAAAUCAUUCCAGAUUAAAUCUUGGUGAAGCAUCUCCAACUCCAAUGAAGCUCUAGGAAUAAUCACAGGUGGUAUCCCGUAAUGUCUUAUGGUUAGAUAUGUUCGCCUAGUCUCAUAUUGGUUCUUAGAAUUUUUUGAUCAGCCGGAUUGCUUGCAACAUCAGUAUCUGAUGCACUUUGCCUGAGUCUAACAACUGGACUUGAUGUGUCUGUAUCGUUAUCUAUAUCUGGAAAUUGAUUUUUAGUUGAGAAAUAUCGUUCCACAGUAUAGAUCAAUGAACGUAUAAGGGAUAAGCAAUUAGAAAACUAGGGCAAACAUCAAUAUUAUAGUGCCAUACGAGACUAGAGAGGAGAUGUGGAGAUUGUGAUUCAUUACCACGAAUUUGGAUUAGUUCUUGGCCUGUCGCUCAAUAACUGGCAUAUGGCGACCAAUCCACGACGGAACGCCGAGCAAGAGAGACGAGAUUGUUGAGUUAUUUUGGGAAGUCAUUGAGCGAUCAGGAAAGACGAGAGGCGGCUGCCGAGUAUUCGUACAGGGAAUUGGCGAACGAACAGACCUAGGCACUCUACUUGGGCUUUUGGGCUUUCGAUUGGCUAGUACGUGGGUGGGUGGUGGGAUCCUGUUUUUCUUUCCUUCCUUUUUCUGUACGUGCGAUCCUGGUUUGAUGGGUUCAGCGAUGAUUUUCUGUUGGGUUCAUACCAAAGAAAUACUCGUACGCACGUAGGGCCACGGGGAAAUCGUUGGGUUCAGCUGAACCCAACGGCUCAACGCUGGCUCCGCCCCUAUCCGCAAGCCCCUAGCUGGGCAAAGAGGUAAAAAGCAUCUGCCUACAGUAAGUUGUUUGGGUGCAGUUGAUAAUCUGAAAAAUUGAGAAUGGCGAGCAGUUUAGUCUAGCUUAGCGUAAAAUGCAAUGGUUCAGUACAGCUAGGUUAGUCCUGAUUAAUGUGAGUGAAAUGUAGCUAUCCAUUUUGAUAGCAGGCCGGUAGGCGUCUUGCCAUGUCUUAUAGUCUGUCAUUUUUUUCAUGAUUUGUUGUAUCCUAAGAUGAAAAUGGAAGUACCGGAACUUGCAUAUUUAAUUGUUGUGGAAAAUCACAAGGAAUAAAAUUUGGUCUAUUCUUUUUUUGUUUGCAGAGUAAGAGUCGGCAAUCAACCGCCGGACAGAGCUCCAUGCCCGGAAAGGGUAGGCGCGCUCGAGCAGACUAUGAGGGGUUGUGCUGGUAAAUUAGGCGGCCAUGUAGUUGAGCCUGCCAUUGGAUUAACUUUCGAUUCUUUGGAUGAAGCAUAUGAUUUUUAUAACCUUUAUUCGUGGGAGCAUGGGUUCGGUAUUCGGUACGGCAAAAGCCGCCUGAAUGCAGAGAAGACAAAGUGUAUGCAAGAAGUGGUUUGCGGCUAUUCGGGCAAACCGACAAAGGAGAACAGCAGGUCAUGUCGCUGCGAGUGUCCAGCCAUGAUCAAACUGCUUAGAACAUCGGAUAAUGGCUGGUACAUUACAGAACACAGGGCGAACCACAAACAUGGUUUGUCGCAGACAUGCGGGAAGAAGGUGAGCAUGUAGAUGUGUACACAAAGGAUCUGGUCAAGCAGCUUCGGCAGAACAAUGUCAAUGUAACAAAAGUGUACAGUAUAAUAUCAAGUUUUUUGGGGAACGUCGAUAAGGUUCCAUUUACCAAAAGGACACUCGCAACUUAUGCGGCAAGAUUAACAAGGAGCAAGCAGAGGAUGAUGUGAGGAAGACAAUUGAUGUAUUUGCUGCCGCUAAAGACCAAGGGUUCGUUUUCAGGGUGCAGAAUAGUAGCCAUGUUUUUUUUGGAGACGUAGAUAAGGUUCCAUUCACAAAAAGAAUUCCUAGAAUCUGUGUUGGCUCCCUCAAUCAGCUGGCCGAGCUCUGGUGUGCUCACAUCAGGCUUAGCAUGGAGCGCUGACAGCUCCACCUUCUACAUGUGGAAUGGUGAAGAUAGCCAUGGCUUGAGGGGGAGAAUGCUGUCACUGAAUCAUAUCUGCAAGCGGACCAGGAGGUAAUCGUCUUGGGCCAGGACGAUUCAGGCUAGGUUCGCGAGAUUCAGGAUAGCUGUGAAAUACUGCACUUUGCGCUUCAGGCUGAGCAGAGUUAUUUUGAUUUUAUGGACGCAAGUGCCACCGCCGGCGGAGUUCGAUCUACACAAAGCACUCGCGGAAGCUGCAGCGGUAGAUCAAGACGACGUUGAGCACGCCGAAGAAGUUGUAGCACAGCAUGAUCCCGAUGUCGAGCCACAUCUUGUCGAGGCGGAGAAGCUGGUUAUUGAAGAUUAUGAGGAGGUUGUGAUGGUUUGGGUGACAAACGAAGAAUCAGAGAGCGAAGAAGAAAUGUCUAGCCCCAAGCGUCGUCACGUGUGCUAGACUAGGAAACAAAUCAAUCGACCAGUUGGCUAGGUUCUUACAAUUAAAUGCAUGGUUUUUGUGUUCAUGCCACGGUGUAUUUUGUUGGGCUUUUCUUAGUGUCCACUGCUUGGUGGGGCUGUCCUAAAAAAGGUUGACACUCAAGCGUGGCAGAUGAAUUAGCUUUGCUAUUAAUGUUGAACUAUGUCAUUUCGCAUGAACUGAAUCGUGCAGAGGAAGGCGAUGGUUUGGGAGGGGGGAUUGGGUAGUACUAAUAAAUAUCUAGUGUUGACCGUCGCCGUUUAACUUCCAGUGGUCCAGUUGUGACGCGCCGUUUGAACAGAUCCGUCCAGCUCUAUCUGGACUGCAGCGGCGUUACACUGGAGAUUCGCUUCCGUACAACUGAUUGGUGGGCCAGGCCUUGUACUAUUUAAUUGAAAUACAUAAGUGAAUACUUGCCAGUCUG